GACGAACGCUGGCGGCGUGCUUAACACAUGCAAGUCGAACGGAAAGGCCCUGCUUUUGUGGGGUGCUCGAGUGGCGAACGGGUGAGUAACACGUGAGUAACCUGCCCUUGACUUUGGGAUAACUUCAGGAAACUGGGGCUAAUACCGGAUAGGAGCUCCUGCUGCAUGGUGGGGGUUGGAAAGUUUCGGCGGUUGGGGACGGACUCGCGGCUUAUCAGCUUGUUGGUGGGGUAGUGGCUUACCAAGGCUUUGACGGGUAGCCGGCCUGAGAGGGAGACCGGCCACAUUGGGACUGAGAUACGGCCCAGACUCCUACGGGAGGCAGCAGUGGGGAAUAUUGCACAAUGGGCGGAAGCCUGAUGCAGCAACGCCGCGUGCGGGAUGACGGCCUUCGGGUUGUAAACCGCUUUCGCCUGUGACGAAGCGUGAGUGACGGUAAUGGGUAAAGAAGCACCGGCUAACUACGUG
rnacentral:rRNA from 1 species